rnacentral:rRNA from 1 species
GGCCUGGAGAUGAGUGACGGAUCUCUUAAAUUGUCAGCUCUUAUCGGAUUGAGCUGGCUGUGACGAGGUUCCAGGAAAUAGCCUCUCCAUAUAGACCGUACCCGAAACCGACACAGGUGGUCAGGUAGAGUAUACCAAGGCGCUUGAGAGAAGUAUCCUGAAGGAACUCGGCAAAUUGCCUCCGUACCUUCGGAAGAAGGAGGCCCCACCUAUGCGCAAGCACUGGUGGGGGGCACAGGCCAGGGGGUAGCGACUGUUUAGCAAAAACACAGGACUCUGCUAAGUCGGCUUCAAGACGACGUAUAGGGUCUGACGCCUGCCCGGUGCCGGAAGGUUAAGAGGAGGAGUGCAAG